CCUACGGGUGACAGCAGUCGAGAAUCAUUCACAAUGGGGGAAACCCUGAUGGUGCGACGCCGCGUGGGGGAAUGAAGGUCUUCGGAUUGUAAACCCCUGUCAUGGGGGCGCAGAUUAAAAGGAUAGUACCACAAGAGGAAGAGACGACUAACUCUGUGCCAGCAGCCGCGGUAAUACACAGUGCUCAAGCGUGGUUCGGAAUCACUGGGCGUAAAGCGUGCGUAGGCGUGUUCGUAAGUCGUGUGUGAAAGGGGCGGGCUCAACCCGCGGACGGCCCAUGAUACUGCGAGACGUGAGUAAUGGAGGGGGAACCGGAAUUCUCGGUGUAGCAGUGAAAUGCGCAGAUAUCGAGAGGAACACUCGUGGCGAAGGCGGGUUCCUGGACAUCAACUGACGCUGAGGCACGAAGGCUAGGGGAGCGAAAGGGAUUAGAUACCCUUGUAGUC
rnacentral:rRNA from 1 species